rnacentral:rRNA from 1 species
AACGAACGCUGGCGGCAGGCUUAACACAUGCAAGUCGAGCGCCCCGCAAGGGGAGCGGCAGACGGGUGAGUAACGCGUGGGAAUCUACCUUUUGCUACGGAAUAACGCAGGGAAACUUGUGCUAAUACCGUAUGUGCCCUUCGGGGGAAAGAUUUAUCGGCAAAGGAUGAGCCUGCGCUGGAUUAGCUAGUUGGUGGGGUAAAGGCCUACCAAGGCGACGAUCCAUAGCUGGUCUGAGAGGAUGAUCAGCCACAUUGGGACUGAGACGCGGCCCAAACUCCUACGGGAGGCAGCAGUGGGGAAUAUUGGACAAUGGGCGCAAGCCUGAUCCAGCCAUGCCGCGUGAGUGAUGAAGGCCUUAGGGUUGUAAAGCUCUUUCACCGGUGAAGAUAAUGACGGUAACCGGAGAAGAAGCCCCGGCUAACUUCGUGCCAGCCGCCGCAGUAA